UCUCCGUUGGUGAACCAGCGGAGGGAUCAUUACAGGACUCGCAAGACUCCUUCACCCUGUGAACCUCACUACAAGCACGUUGCUUCGGCGGGUGUCCCGGCGGGGGAUUCCCCUCGCCGGGGCGCACAGCCCGCCGGCAGCCUACUAUACUCUGUCUCUUUGCGUUGGCAUCUCGAGAAAAAACAAACAAGUUAAAACUUUCAACAACGGAUCUCUUGGUUCUG
rnacentral:misc_RNA from 1 species